AUUCAUAUACAUAAAUAAUGUUUUUUAAAAAGUUGGGUGUGAUAGAAAAUGGUUACAAUUUGCUGGUGACAAUGGGCCCCCGGGGCUCACUGGCUGGCCACCCUGCUCCAGAUCCCAAUGAGAGAAUACCAGGUGGAUGGAUAGUGGAAGGAACCAUGUCUGAGGUUGCUUCUGGCCCUCAUGUUCACACACAUCUGCAUAUGCAUGCAAACAUUAACUUAAAGCAGCUUUGUUAAAAUUUUGAGAGUAACACUAAGUGAGAGCAGGGGUCAUCAGCUACUGGACAGGCCGGAGUGACCAUGGGAAGAGCAGGACCAUGCCGAGUGCUUUACAAUGGGACCAGAACGACCAAACAGACAAGCCCAUGCAUCCGCCCGUGACUCACGGACUUUGCUUCCCAUCAUCAAACCGCUCUUGCAGAAACGGUCUACAGAGUAAAACACUGUCUGGGAUCCGAGCCUCGGCCUUUUAGGCAGC
rnacentral:lncRNA from 1 species